UACGUAGGGGGCAAGCGUUGUCCGGAUUCAUUGGGCGUAAAGAGCGUGUAGGCGGCCAGGUAGGUCGGUUGUGAAAACUGGAGGCUCAACCUUCAGAGGUCGACCGAAACCAUCUGGCUAGAGUCCGGGAGAGGAGAGUGGAAUUCCUGGUGUAGCGGUGAAAUGCGCAGAUAUCAGGAAGAACACCCGUAGCGAAAGCGGCUCUCUGGAACGGUACUGACGCUGAGACGCGAAAGCGUGGGGAGCGAACAGG
rnacentral:rRNA from 1 species